GACGAACGCUGGCGGCGUGCCUAAUACAUGCAAGUAGAACGCUGAAGGAGGAGCUUGCUUCUCUGGAUGAGUUGCGAACGGGUGAGUAACGCGUAGGUAACCUGCCUGGUAGCGGGGGAUAACUAUUGGAAACGAUAGCUAAUACCGCAUAAUAGUAGAUGUCGCAUGACAUUUGCUUAAAAGGUGCAAUUGCAUCACUACCAGAUGGACCUGCGUUGUAUUAGCUAGUUGGUGAGGUAACGGCUCACCAAGGCAACGAUACAUAGCCGACCUGAGAGGGUGAUCGGCCACACUGGGACUGAGACACGGCCCAGACUCCUACGGGAGGCAGCAGUAGGGAAGCUUCGGCAAUGGACGGAAGUCUGACCGAGCAACGCCGCGUGAGUGAAGAAGGUUUUCGGAUCGUAAAGCUCUGUUGUAAGAGAAGAACGAGUGUGAGAGUGGAAAGUUCACACUGUGACGGUAUCUUACCAGAAAGGGACGGCUAACUACGUG
rnacentral:rRNA from 1 species